rnacentral:rRNA from 1 species
UACAGAGGGGGCAAGCGUUGUUCGGAAUUACUGGGCGUAAAGCGUGCGCAGGCGGCUUUGCAAGUGACGGGUGAAAUCCCUCGGCUUAACCGAGGAACUGCCUGUCAGACUGCAUGGCUCGAGACCAGGAGAGGUGAGUGGAAUUCCCAGUGUAGCGGUGAAAUGCGUAGAUAUUGGGAGGAACACCAGUGGCGAAGGCGGCUCACUGGACUGGUACUGACGCUGAUGCGCGAAAGCGUGGGGAGCAAACAGG